rnacentral:rRNA from 1 species
GACGAACGCUGGCGGCGUGCUUAACACAUGCAAGUCGAACGGAAAGGCCCUGCUUUUGUGGGGUGCUCGAGUGGCGAACGGGUGAGUAACACGUGAGUAACCUGCCCUUGACUUUGGGAUAACUUCAGGAAACUGGGGCUAAUACCGGAUAGGAGCUCCUGCUGCAUGGUGGGGGUUGGAAAGUUUCGGCGGGUGGGGAUGGACUCGCGGCUUAUCAGCUUGUUGGUGGGGUAGUGGCUUACCAAGGCUUUGACGGGUAGCCGGCCUGAGAGGGUGACCGGGCACCUUGGGACUGAGGUACGGCCCAGAUUGCUACGGGAGGCAGCAGUGGGGAAUAUUGCACAGUGGGCGGAAGCCUGAUGCAGCAACGCCGCGUGCGGGAUGACGGCCUUCGGGUUGUAAACCGCUUUCGCCUGUGACGAAGCGUGAGUGACGGUAAUGGGUAAAGAAGCACCGGCUAACUACGUG